rnacentral:rRNA from 1 species
UUGAACGCUGGCGGCAGGCCUAACCCAUGCAAGUCGAACGGUAACAGGAAGAAGCUUGCUUCUUUGCUGACGAGUGGCGGACGGGUGAGUAAUGUCUGGGAAACUGCCUGAUGGAGGGGGAUAACUACUGGAAACGGUAGCUAAUACCGCAUAACGUCGCAAGACCAAAGAGGGGGACCUUCGGGCCUCUUGCCAUCGGAUGUGCCCAGAUGGGAUUAGCUUGUUGGUGGGGUAACGGCUCACCAAGGCGACGAUCCCUAGCUGGUCUGAGAGGAUGACCAGCCACACUGGAACUGAGACACGGUCCAGACUCCUACGGGAGGCAGCAGUGGGGAAUAUUGCACAAUGGGCGCAAGCCUGAUGCAGCCAUGCCGCGUGUAUGAAGAAGGCCUUCGGGUUGUAAAGUACUUUCAGCGGGGAGGAAGGGAGUAAAGUUAAUACCUUUGCUCAUUGACGUUACCCGCAGAAGAAGCACCGGCUAACUCCGUG